GAGAAUGGACUUGCCGUGCGUGUGGUGUCACGCACGACCGCGAUGUAAAUGCGGCCAAGAACAUUCUUGCGCUCGGGCAUGAGCGUCCUGCAGAGGGAAUCCCCGUCCUUUAGGGCGGGGAGGAUGUCAAUUACUUCUGUUCU
rnacentral:misc_RNA from 1 species